AGUGAACGCUGGCGGUAGGCCUAACACAUGCAAGUCGAGCGGCAGCACAGUAAGAGCUUGCUCUUACGGGUGGCGAGUGGCGGACGGGUGAGGAAUACAUCGGCAUCUACUUUUUCGUAGGGGAUAACGCAGGGGAAAUUACGCCAAAACCGCAUACGACCUACGGGUGGAAGCCGGGGAUCUUCGGACCUUACGUGAUUGUAUGAGCCGAUGUCGGAUUAGCUAGUUGGCGGGGUAAAGGCCCACCAAGGCGACGAUCCGUAGCUGGUCUGAGAGGAUGAUCAGCCACACUGGAACUGAGACGCGGUCCAGACUCCUACGGGAGGCAGCAGUGGGGAAUAUUGGACAAUGGGCGCAAGCCUGAUCCAGCCAUACCGCGUGGGUGAAGAAGGCCUUCGGGUUGUAAAGCCCUUUUGUUGGGAAAGAAAAGCAGCAGGUUAAUACCCUGCUGUUCUGACGGUACCCAAAGAAUAAGCACCGGCUAACUUCGUG
rnacentral:rRNA from 1 species